AGAGUUUGAUCCUGGCUCAGAACGAACGCUGGCGGCGCGUUUUAAGCAUGCAAGUCGAACGGUAACCAUCCUUCGGGAUGGCUAGAGUGGCGAACGGGUGAGUAACACGUAGGUGAUCUGCCCUUGAGUUGGGGAUAGCCCAUGGAAACAUGGGGUAAUACCGAAUACGCUCGCGACCCUGUGGGGAUGUGAGGAAAAGCGCUUCGGCGCUGCUCGAGGAUGAGCCUGCGGCUGAUUAGUUAGUUGGUGGGGUAACGGCCUACCAAGGCGACGAUCAGUAGCCGGCCUGAGAGGGUGAGCGGCCACACUGGGACUGAGAUACGGCCCAGACUCCUACGGGAGGCAGCAGCUAAGAAUCUUCUACAAUGGACGAAAGUCUGAUAGAGCGACGCCGCGUGGGUGAUGAAGGCCGGAAGGUUGUAAAGCCCUUUUCUAUUCGAGGAAUAAGGUGUGGAGGCAAUGCCACACUGAUGACGAUAGGGUAGGAAUAAGCCCCGGCCAAUUACGUGCCAGCAGCCGCGGUAACACGUAUGGGGCGAGCGUUGUUCGGAAUCAUUGGGCGUAAAGGGCGCGUAGGCGGAUAUGCAAGCUUGGUGUGAAAGACCGCAGCUCAACUGCGGGAGCGCGCUGAGAACUGCAUAUCUUGAGUUCAAGAGGGGAAGCUGGAAUUCCAGGUGUAGGGGUGAAAUCUGUAGAUAUCUGGAAGAACAUCAGUGGCGAAGGCGAGCUUCUGGCUUUGAACUGACGCUGAGGCGCGAAAGCGUGGGGAGCGAACAGGAUUAGAUACCCUGGUAGUCCACGCUGUAAACGAUGUGCACUAUGUGUUGGGCCGUUGAAGGCUCAGUGCCGUAGCUAACGCGUU
rnacentral:rRNA from 1 species